rnacentral:miRNA from 1 species
ACCGCUGCCCUGGCCUUGCGUCACU